rnacentral:rRNA from 1 species
UACGAAGGGGGCUAGCGUUGUUCGGAAUCACUGGGCGUAAAGGGCGCGUAGGCGGCUGUUCAAGUCGGGGGUGAAAGCCUGUGGCUCAACCACAGAAUGGCCUUCGAUACUGUCGGGCUUGAGACCGGAAGAGGUAAGUGGAACUGCGAGUGUAGAGGUGAAAUUCGUAGAUAUUCGCAAGAACACCAGUGGCGAAGGCGGCUUACUGGUCCGGAUCUGACGCUGAGGCGCGAAAGCGUGGGGAGCAAACAGG